rnacentral:rRNA from 1 species
AGUGAACGCUGGCGGUAGGCCUAACACAUGCAAGUCGAACGGCAGCACAGUAAGAGCUUGCUCUUACGGGUGGCGAGUGGCGGACGGGUGAGGAAUACAUCGGAAUCUACUUUUUCGUGGGGGAUAACGUAGGGAAACUUACGCUAAUACCGCAUACGACCUACGGGUGAAAGCAGGGGAUCUUCGGACCUUGCGCGAUUGAAUGAGCCGAUGUCGGAUUAGCUAGUUGGCGGGGUAAAGGCCCACCAAGGCGACGAUCCGUAGCUGGUAUGAGAGGAUGAUCAGCCACACUGGAACUGAGACACGGUCCAGACUCCUACGGGAGGCAGCAGUGGGGAAUAUUGGACAAUGGGCGCAAGCCUGAUCCAGCCAUACCGCGUGGGUGAAGAAGGCCUUCGGGUUGUAAAGCCCUUUUGUUGGGAAAGAAAAGCAGCAGGUUAAUACCCCGCUGUUCUGACGGUACCCAAAGAAUAAGCACCGGCUAACUUCGUG